rnacentral:rRNA from 1 species
GUUGAACGCUGGCGGCGUGCCUAACACAUGCAAGUCGAACGGUAACACGAAGAGCUUUCUUUCUUUACUUUCGAGUCGCGGGCGUGUGUGACAUGUGUGGGACCCAGCUUGAUGACUGGGAUUACCUACUGAAAACGGUGCUAAAUACCGAUUACCUUCUCAAGACCAUGGUUGAGGAGUGUCAGACCGCCUUCCAGCCGCUUAUCGCAGAUUCCGGAUGGGAUUAGCUAGUUGGUAGGGUAACGGCUCACCAAGGCCACGAUUCGUAGCUGAUCUGAGAGGAUGACCAGCCACACUGGAACUGAGACACGGUCCAGACUCCUACGGGAGGCAGCAGUGGGGAAUAUUGCGCAAUGGGCGAAAGCCUGAUGCAGCAAUGCCGCGUGUAUGAAGAAGGCCUUCGGGUUGUAAAGCUCUGUCAGCGGGGAGGAAGGGAGUAAAGUGAAUAUAUGUGCUUAUUGACGUUACCUGAAGAAGAAGCACCGGCUAACUACGUG